AUGGCAGGAGGAGCGAUUUCCAAUUUCGUGAGGGCAAUCCGUACCCGCUCAACGGACAUCGGGGCCGCCGCUGGUUGGGGCGUCGCCGCCGGCGCCACCGCCAUAUGGCUCGUCCAACCAUUUGAUUGGAUAAAGAAGACGUUCUUCGAGAAGCCAGAGCCAGAGGGUAACUGAGGGAAGGCACGGCAGGAGCAAAGAAGUUUUUCGGGUUUUUUGCAUCUUUUCUUGGGGAUGUCAAAGACACGCAUGAACCCAGAUGAAUAAUGAAUUUUGUUUUUCUCCUCACUUUGUGAUUGUGGUUUCAUUUCAUUACCAACGCAGACAUCUCUUCUCAAUGUUAUGAGCCAAAACAGAUUUGCAAAUUCUCUAUGAAGAAUGCGACCCAUUUGCAUUACA